AGAGUUUGAUCCUGGCUCAGGACGAACGCUGGCGGCGUGCCUAAUACAUGCAAGUAGAACGCUGAAGGAGGAGCUUGCUUCUCUGGAUGAGUUGCGAACGGGUGAGUAACGCGUAGGUAACCUGCCUGGUAGCGGGGGAUAACUAUUGGAAACGAUAGCUAAUACNACUUCAUUAUGAAUCGUUUGAGGCGCCUUUCCUAACAAGCCUGCAAUUUCACGAUUGGACUUAUUUUCAUUCUUCCACCGCUCAAUCAAGCGACGGUUAUCUAUUGUCAAAUGUUUCCCUUUUGGGGUAUAAUGUUCUUGCAUCUCUGUGCCUUUCCUUGUGUUUGUGGUGAACAACAAGUAUAGCACAGAGGUGUUUUCUUAUACCUUAAAUCACAUUUCAUUUGACAACAGGAACCCUUGAACCUGUUUUUUCAGCUAAACCAAGGCUAUGAUUAGCCUUGGCCACCUAGCCUAACAGUUUCAAACCUGUUAUCAAAUGAAAUCAUCAACUUACUCAAACAUAGUGAAACAUCUAAUUCUUGACUAAGGUAAGGUGGCUAACUUCAUUAUAGAACUUUCAACUAGUAAGUCAUGCAAAAAAAAUGAAAAAAAUUAGAAAAAGUAGUUGACAAAGUUUGAAAAGACUGUAUAAUAGUAAGAGUUGAAAAUAACAACUCAGGUCCGUUGGUCAAGGGGUUAAGACACCGCCUUUUCACGGCGGUAACACGGGUUCGAAUCCCGUACGGACUAUGGUAUGUUGCGGUUGGAACACUUGAUGAAAAAAAGUUUAAAAAAGCUUAAAAAUCUUCAAAAAAGUGUUGACAAGUGAAAGUGGCUGUGAUAUACUAAUAUAGUUGUCGCUUGAGAGAAGCAAGUGACAAAGACCUUUGAAAACUGAACAAGACGAACCAAUGUGCAGGGCGCUACAACAUAAGUUGUAGUACUGAACAAUGAAAAAAACAAUAAAUCUGUCAGUGACAGAAAUGAGUAAGAACUCAAACUUUUAAUGAGAGUUUGAUCCUGGCUCAGGACGAACGCUGGCGGCGUGCCUAAUACAUGCAAGUAGAACGCUGAAGGAGGAGCUUGCUUCUCUGGAUGAGUUGCGAACGGGUGAGUAACGCGUAGGUAACCUGCCUGGUAGCGGGGGAUAACUAUUGGAAACGAUAGCUAAUACCGCAUAAGAGUNGAUGUUGCAUGACAUUUGCUUAAAAGGUGCACUUGCAUCACUACCAGAUGGACCUGCGUUGUAUUAGCUAGUUGGUGGGGUAACGGCUCACCAAGGCGACGAUACAUAGCCGACCUGAGAGGGUGAUCGGCCACACUGGGACUGAGACACGGCCCAGACUCCUACGGGAGGCAGCAGUAGGGAAUCUUCGGCAAUGGACGGAAGUCUGACCGAGCAACGCCGCGUGAGUGAAGAAGGUUUUCGGAUCGUAAAGCUCUGUUGUAAGAGAAGAACGAGUGUGAGAGUGGAAAGUUCACACUGUGACGGUAUCUUACCAGAAAGGGACGGCUAACUACGUGCCAGCAGCCGCGGUAAUACGUAGGUCCCGAGCGUUGUCCGGAUUUAUUGGGCGUAAAGCGAGCGCAGGCGGUUAGAUAAGUCUGAAGUUAAAGGCUGUGGCUUAACCAUAGUAGGCUUUGGAAACUGUUUAACUUGAGUGCAAGAGGGGAGAGUGGAAUUCCAUGUGUAGCGGUGAAAUGCGUAGAUAUAUGGAGGAACACCGGUGGCGAAAGCGGCUCUCUGGCUUGUAACUGACGCUGAGGCUCGAAAGCGUGGGGAGCAAACAGGAUUAGAUACCCUGGUAGUCCACGCUGUAAACGAUGAGUGCUAGGUGUUAGACCCUUUCCGGGGUUUAGUGCCGUAGCUAACGCAUUAAGCACUCCGCCUGGGGAGUACGACCGCAAGGUUGAAACUCAAAGGAAUUGACGGGGGCCCGCACAAGCGGUGGAGCAUGUGGUUUAAUUCGAAGCAACGCGAAGAACCUUACCAGGUCUUGACAUCCCUCUGACCGCUCUAGAGAUAGAGUUUUCCUUCGGGACAGAGGUGACAGGUGGUGCAUGGUUGUCGUCAGCUCGUGUCGUGAGAUGUUGGGUUAAGUCCCGCAACGAGCGCAACCCCUAUUGUUAGUUGCCAUCAUUUAGUUGGGCACUCUAGCGAGACUGCCGGUAAUAAACCGGAGGAAGGUGGGGAUGACGUCAAAUCAUCAUGCCCCUUAUGACCUGGGCUACACACGUGCUACAAUGGCUGGUACAACGAGUCGCAAGCCGGUGACGGCAAGCUAAUCUCUUAAAGCCAGUCUCAGUUCGGAUUGUAGGCUGCAACUCGCCUACAUGAAGUCGGAAUCGCUAGUAAUCGCGGAUCAGCACGCCGCGGUGAAUACGUUCCCGGGCCUUGUACACACCGCCCGUCACACCACGAGAGUUUGUAACACCCGAAGUCGGUGAGGUAACCGUAAGGAGCCAGCCGCCUAAGGUGGGAUAGAUGAUUGGGGUGAAGUCGUAACAAGGUAGCCGUAUCGGAAGGUGCGGCUGGAUCACCU
rnacentral:tRNA from 1 species